rnacentral:rRNA from 1 species
ACGAACGCUGGCGGCGUGGAUAAGACAUGCAAGUCGAACGAGAGAAUUGCUAGCUUGCUAAUAAUUCUCUAGUGGCGCACGGGUGAGUAACACGUGAGUAACCUGCCCCCGAGAGCGGGAUAGCCCUGGGAAACUGGGAUUAAUACCGCAUAGAAUCGCAAGAUUAAGGCAGCAAUGCGCUUGGGGAUGGGCUCGCGGCCUAUUAGUUAGUUGGUGAGGUAACGGCUCACCAAGGCGAUGACGGGUAGCCGGUCUGAGAGGAUGUCCGGCCACACUGGAACUGAGACACGGUCCAGACACCUACGGGUGGCAGCAGUCGAGAAUCAUUCACAAUGGGGGAAACCCUGAUGGUGCGACGCCGCGUGGGGGAAUGAAGGUCUUCGGAUUGUAAACCCCUGUCAUGUGGGAGCAAAUUAAAAAGAUAGUACCACAAGAGGAAGAGACGGCUAACUCUGUGCCAGCAGCCGCGGUAAUACAGAGGUCUCAAGCGUUGUUCGGAAUCACUGGGCGUAAAGCGUGCGUAGGCUGUUUCGUAAGUCGUGUGUGAAAGGCGCGGGCUCAACCCGCGGACGGCACAUGAUACUGCGAGACUAGAGUAAUGGAGGGGGAACCGGAAUUCUCGGUGUAGCAGUGAAAUGCGUAGAUAUCGAGAGGAACACUCGUGGCGAAGGCGGGUUCCUGGACAUUAACUGACGCUGAGGCACGAAGGCCAGGGGAGCGAAAGGGAUUAGAUACCCCUGUAGUCCUGGCAGUAAACGGUGCACGCUUGGUGUGCGGGGAAUCGACCCCCUGCGUGCCGGAGCUAACGCGUUAAGCGUGCCGCCUGGGGAGUACGGUCGCAAGAUUAAAACUCAAAGAAAUUGACGGGGACCCGCACAAGCGGUGGAGUAUGUGGCUUAAUUCGAUGCAACGCGAAGAACCUUACCUGGGCUUGACAUGUAAUGAACAACAUGUGAAAGCAUGCGACUCUUCGGAGGCGUUACACAGGUGCUGCAUGGCCGUCGUCAGCUCGUGUCGUGAGAUGUUUGGUUAAGUCCAGCAACGAGCGCAACCCCUGUUGCCAGUUACCAGCACGUGAAGGUGGGGACUCUGGCGAGACUGCCCAGAUCAACUGGGAGGAAGGUGGGGACGACGUCAGGUCAGUAUGGCCCUUAUGCCCAGGGCUGCACACGUACUACAAUGCCCAGUACAGAGGGGGCCGAAGCCGCGAGGCGGAGGAAAUCCUGAAAACUGGGCCCAGUUCGGACUGUAGGCUGCAACCCGCCUACACGAAGCCGGAAUCGCUAGUAAUGGCGCAUCAGCUACGGCGCCGUGAAUACGUUCCCGGGUCUUGUACACACCGCCCGUCACAUCAUGGAAGCCGGUCGCACCCGAAGUAUCUGAAGCCAACCGCAAGGAGGCAGGGUCCUAAGGUGAGACUGGUAACUGGGAUG